CAUUGCGGCACAGUUCAGUUGGAAGUGCCGCCGAGAAAAGACAGACAGAGGAUCGACAAGUCUCUCACUAAGCCAAGCCGCCACCGCCUUGUGCGGUGCGGUGCGGGGCGGCCCAGCCAAGUCCAAGUGCUCGCCCAACUUAAUUAAAGUCAAUUAAUUGCUUUACAAGUGAAUCGACAAAAGUGUUUUUCAAUUUACCCAGAAACUGCCCUCGAAAAUCUGUUACAGGAUCUUCACAAUAGUUCGAGUCCUUCAUCCAGAUUGAGCGACAAACCAAGCAAAAAGAAACAUUGCUCAAACUCAACAAGUUGUCAGCAGCAAAGGAAAAUUCUAUAAUACUUCCAAUCCAACAGCUGUAAGAGGGUUGGCUUUAUCCACGAAACAGAAGACUCGACUCAGACCAUGUGGGGAAAAAAAACCAACCUAAUUCACAAAUCUAUCAAGAGAUCAAAGAAGUACAAACCAUGUGAACCAGGACAAGUCACGUUCCAAAAACAAAACUGGAAUGAAUGUUUUCUUUCAAUCAUUUUACAAAUAUUGUUCUUCAGUUAAACAGCUUGACAAUUUAUUUGUUUUGCAAUCUACAAGAAAAAAUAGGUUGAGGAUCUAAAGAACCAUUUAAACUAUCCAACAAAUCUUCCAAAACAAUUUUGACUUAUUGAACAUCCACAUAACAUUUUAGUUGAUCAUAUUUUGUGCCUUUUUGUUUAGUUUCUUAUAAUUUUUGUUGCUGUUUUCGUUAUACAUUUUUGAAGCUAUAAAUUUGUUGGUCUAACAAUGCCCUCGACGACAGCUUUCACUUAAGAUAGGAGUCAGGAGACUGUUUAUCAGGAAGGUAUCUUCGACGUGUAUUGCCAAUAGCAAGCCUGUUUUUGUUGCAUAAAUAUGAAUUUAAGUCAUCCAUA